UUCUCCGCGUCGCUGUCGAAGCUCACGAACUCCGUGUGGUCCACAUAGCCAACAGAGACGAAACGGGUCUCCCCGAGGCCGGGCCGGGACACGAUGGUGAGGAAAUACCGCAUGGAUUGCGAGCCUGGAGACGGCGCGCGCAGGAGCAGUGCAAGCAGAGUCAUAGCCCCCAUCUCAGAUCUGGGCGUCAGGGUUCCCUGCAUGGACUUUAUACCCGGUGCCCCCUUGGCGAAGCUGGUUGGUUCCCAGGGAUCUCGACACCCAGUGGAGAUGAGAAUCGAGUCCUCAUCAGUGUCCGGGCAGAAGGAGCUGACACAGAUCUUUGUCGCAGUGGGGAAGGGGUCCACUGUGCUGAGAUGAUGACCCAGGUUCACACAAUCUGAGGACUAUGAAGAGAAGAUCCUUGUAAAACACAACCACCUGGAGCCACAGAUGGUCAUCUGGGAAGAAACACUAGGAGUCUGAGUGUAAUCACAAGGCUGUGAAGACUGGAUUCUGAGUGAUGAGCAAAGUCUCUAUUUACAGGGGAGAUUCCCGAGCACCAGGCUUGGCAGUGUGAGCGCCCCCUGCAGGUGGACACAGGAGCCUGGUGUCUGUGGGAGUCUGUGUGGGGCUUGCAGGCCAGGGCAUCUGCUUUAAAGAGAAAUCAUCUCUCCCCUGCAUCCCGGCCCUAGUGUUAUUGCCAUUGUGUUCCCGGAAGUGACUUUUCUUCUGGAAGAUCCGGAGUCUAGCUUGUGAAUAGAAGGAAGAGGAAGGGUGAGGAGAGAAUGAAAUGUUCUGGGCUGUGGGCGUCUCCUGGUGAUUUUGUUUUUGUUUCUGUUUUUGAGACAAGGUCUGUCUCCUUCAUUCUGGCUGUCCUGAAACUUACUAUGUAGACCAGGCUGGUCUUGAACUCAGAGAACCAUCUGCCUUUGUAUCCCAAGUACUGGGGCUAAAGGUUUGUGUGAA